CAUUAGAGGAUAUGUUUUUAUUGAUUUUUUUAGAGAGAUAGAAAGGGAGAGAAAGAGAGAAAGGGAGAGAAAGAGCUAAACAUCGAGUGGUUGCUUCCUGUAUGUACCCUGAAUGGGAACUGAACUCAUAACCUUUUGGUGUAUGGGACAAUACUCCAAGGAAACCAUUUUAGAGUCAAUUUCCUUUCCUAUACAUCUAUUUAUUAACCACUGCUUAUAUUUCCUGAGUUGACAUACUCAGUAGAUUCAUUAAGUUUUAGCCUGAAGC